UACAGAGGUCUCAAGCGUUUGUUCGGAUUCAUUGGGCGUAAAGGGUGCGUAGGUGGCGCCGUAAGUCGGGUGUGAAAUUUCGGGAGCUUAACUCCGAAACUGCAUUCGAUACUGCGGUGCUUGAGGACUGGAGAGGAGACUGGAAUUCAUGGUGUAGCAGUGAAAUGCGUAGAGAUCAUGAGGAAGACCAGUGGCGAAGGCGGGUCUCUGGACAGUUCCUGACACUGAGGCACGAAGGCCAGGGGAGCAAACGGG
rnacentral:rRNA from 1 species